GUCGAGCGAACAGACGAGGAGCUUGCUCCUCUGACGUUAGCGGCGGACGGGUGAGUAACACGUGGAUAACCUACCUAUAAGACUGGGAUAACUUCGGGAAACCGGAGCUAAUACCGGAUAAUAUAUUGAACCGCAUGGUUCAAUAGUGAAAGACGGUUUUGCUGUCACUUAUAGAUGGAUCCGCGCCGCAUUAGCUAGUUGGUAAGGUAACAGCUUACCAAGGCAACGAUGCGUAGCCGACCUGAGAGGGUGAUCGGCCACACUGGAACUGAGACACGGUCCAGACUCCUACGGGAGGCAGCAGUAGGGAAUCUUCCGCAAUGGGCGAAAGCCUGACGGAGCAACGCCGCGUGAGUGAUGAAGGUCCUCGGAUCGUAAAACUCUGUUAUUAGGGAAGAACAAAUGUGUAAGUAACUAUGCACGUCUUGACGGUACCUAAUCAGAAAGCCACGGCUAACUACGUGCCAGCAGCCGCGGUAAUACGUAGGUGGCAAGCGUUAUCCGGAAUUAUUGGGCGUAAAGCGCGCGUAGGCGGUUUUUUAAGUCUGAUGUGAAAGCCCACGGCUCAACCGUGGAGGGUCAUUGGAAACUGGAAAACUUGAGUGCAGAAGAGGAAGGUGGAAUUCCAUGUGUAGCGGUGAAAUGCGCAGAGAUAUGGAGGAACACCAGUGGCGAAG
rnacentral:rRNA from 1 species